CAGAACUUCCUUCUUCCCAGAUUAGACACAUUCAUGCAAUUUAAUUUGUAAGCUUCUUCAGCUUUUCUGUUUGUGAUAAAGGGAAAGUUAAAAUUCACAAACAAAUCCCACACAAAUUGUUAAACUUUUGUGAUCCUGUUAAAGUUAUAUCAAAUGCUGUCUUUACCAGUUCAUAUAUUAAAUACUGGCUUUCAGUUUCAACUUGAACUGCUGUCUUUGUGCAGGCUGGAUUAAACCCAGAUAGGUUAUCCAGUUUAGUUAUUACUGUAUUGUUCAAGUGGUGCUUAUCUGUGUGUUUUACAUUCAAGUGUAGAAAUGGGGAGGGGAGGGGGGAGGUUUGCUACUUUUACAUCUUAAUUGAAAAAAAUCAGAACAUUUUCACAUACCCAGGUUAAAAAUUAACAAAUGUGAAUGUUGGACUUUUAACUCACUAGUCAGAGAGAAUGUAAGGUUGGAAUAUAUUCUAAGUACAAGAUUGAAAAUGUAUGUGAAAAUACGCUGGCCACUUCCAGAUGUAAUACUUCAAAGGUGCCACAUUUAUUCUAGUUGACUUAUAUUCUACUGCAAACACUGCUGAGAUAGCUGUCACCUUCACAUCCCCAGGUAUUGUGCGUGGCCAACAGAAUUAUUGGAUUGUACAAGGUCGUUAAUCCCCCAUAAUUAACUACUGGGAGGCCUGAUUUUCUCAGACUUCAGGAUUUAUCAGAGACUGUUCCCUAUCUCACCAGAGGUGCUCAGCACCAUGCAAGUCUGCACCCUAAGAGGGAUACAUUGAGUUCAAUGAGGUCUUAUUAGUUACAAAAUGCUGUAAUUGGGUUUAUUGGAACUGAUCCUAAAAUGGUAUAUAAUCAGAUGUGAUUAAUCUUCUUUUGAUACACCCAUGUGUGCAGUAUCUGAAGACUAAUGAUAACCUGGUCAAUGUCAUUACAAAUAACAAAAUAUCGAUCAUUUGGAAGAGGCUUCCUUCUCCCAGACCUGUGCAAAUUAGCCUUUUUCAUAUAAAAUAGAUUGGACUUUUAUGGACCCAAAGAUGGAUAGUUUCCCACAACAGCUGCAUCUACAUAUAAAAGUAGGUGUUUUGUCUAAGGAGUACUUGCUGUGGCUUUGUGAGUAGGAUUUUCCACUGAAUGCUGCCCUAAAGAAUUCCUUCUGGGUUGAUCUUCUCAGGAAUCAUUCUUUCCUCACACUAAAACCCACAAGAGUCUUUGGAUCUCAGAAACCACAAGACUCAAGAGAUGUAAGGGUGUCAGGAGCUCUGAACUGCCUCCUAAGCCUUCUGUGAUCACCUUGCAGGGUGCUAAAAUUUUCAAGACAGACCAAAUUGCUAAUUUCCUUAUGGCUACACCUUACCAGCUACUGGGGCUUGCCACUGCAAUGCAAGUCUGUGCUGUGCACAAUGAACAUCGUCCUGAUUGUACUCCGGAAUGAUAAAAUUGGAACUAAAAUUUCACACAUCGUGCGCACUACUAACCUUUUUAUCAAUACAGUGUCUUACUUUGAUGGAUACUGUGUCCGUAUCUUUGCAAAAGGAAUUGGUCAGACUUGCUAUAUAGUGUCAAGUACUAGUAUUUAAUUAGAAUUAUUAAUGUAGUUAGAUUAAAAAUAAUGAAGAAGAUUCUCUGCAGGCAUAAGUAUUCAUGGUUCACUGAGUACCAACAAGUUAUACUUGUUUACACCAGCCCAGGGAAUGAAACAGUUGAAUGUAAUAAAAUAUUUCCUACAAAGCAGCUUGAUGCAAGUACUGUGCAGCACAGCAGAUACGAGGAAAAAAGCAUGUACAGCAAAACCUCCAACAGAUUUCAGUGUGACCUCCAUCAGGAAUAAAGCCAGCCCUUUCCUCCACUGCCAAGAAAGUCUGCUUUUUGGUAAGACUGGUGGUUCAACAACCUAGCACACACACUUUAAGCAAAAGGAAAUUUUUCUCUUUUGGGAAUCCUCUUUUCAGCAUUGAGCGAGCAAGCAAACUCCCGAAGGGCACUGGACAUGGACUUGGACAAUUAGGAGUCAAACAAGAGCCAAAUGUUUUUGCCCUGAGGCUUAAAAAGCUGAUGAAGAUGGUAUAGGGAAGUAUAGGAGCCAGGCGGGUGACCUGGUCACAAUGAACAUCUUGUACCCCCCCUCCAACUCCUCUGCCUCCAGUGCAUCUCUGCCCCCGUGCUUCAGCACAGGCCAGAUCACAAAGACCUAUUGUGUCUAUUAUUUUAAUCCACAAACAAUUGUCCAAACAAAGGCAUACAUGCAAACAAGCCUGCAUUUGGAUGCAAUACUUGCUUUCAUUUGGAAAGUUAGGAAAUGAUCUGGCGUGUUGCAACAGCUGGAGCAGGAAGAGAGGACGGUGACUGCUGUUUCCCAGCGUAAUAAGCAAGAAAUGCAUCACGGAGACGUAGGCUGUUUGCAGAUGUAAGACUGCCAGGCAGCUGUAAAAAACAAGCCUCUUCCCUCCCCCUGCCUGGAUGCAGGCGUUUGCUGUGCAUUCUGCUGGGACAUGAAGAAUAUUUCUCAUUCGCGGUGCUGCAGCGGGACGCCCGGAGAAGCGGGAUCCAGUUAAGGUGGGGCCCAGCCUUACCCAGAACCUUGGAUUCAAGGGAGAGGCAAUGACACUAUGGAGCUCUUGCAAAAUAACUAAGGAAACUGUUCUUAAUACAAGAGGCCACUCCUGGCCGUCAGAAAAGAAAAAAAAAAACUUCAUUCAACAGCACAAGAAAGUGAAGGUUAUUUUAGUCCAGGCAUGACAGUGUAAAACCAUAAGCAUUUGAACUUAGACCUGCUUUGAAAGGCAUAAAAACUAAAUAGGAUCACAGUUUGUCAUAAAUUGUUGCUUAAAUUGUUCCUGUUUUCUGGCCCGUAGUUGCUCAGGCCCCUGAAAAUUUGGCAGCAGACGCAACUCUCAAGAAUAUAGCUUUCCACUUACAGAAAGGCUGUAUAUAUUCCCCACGGAGAGCCGAACCUAAAGCUGAGAGCAGGCUCUAGAUUGUCAUUAGAUUGUCACCAGUGCUUGCACUGGGAACUAAAAUGAGAAGAGUAUGCCAGUUAUUUUUUUUAAACUUUUUUUAUUUAAUAAAACCCAGUGAACCAUGUGCUUAAAGUUAAGCACAUGUUUAAAGUGCUUAAGGAUAUAGAAUGGCUUAAUGUAUGUCUUUGGAGGGACAGAGCUGAUAAAACAGAUUACAGUUUUACCACAGAACUGACACAAAAAUGGAUUCAAAACCUCUUUUGAACUAAACCCAGCUAUAAUACAUCCUUUGUCUACACCAAAGACUUCUGGCUUCGUAACCAGCAAACUGGAUUUAUAUUACAUAAAUUUUCCCCAAAAAUGUUAACUGUGUCCUCAUACCAUUUUUGUUAGCUCUUCUGAAAACAAAUCAUAAGUCUUAUUUAUAUGGUUCUGACAUCCUUGGUACAGACCAAGUGGUGACUUUAAACCACUCCAGUUAUAUUAAUAUACUUCACUGAUGACUCUUCAUUUUGGAAAGCAAGCAGUCAGCUCAGCAUGGUUGUGCAAUAGUAAUUCAGUAAGCUAGAAAAGUUGCCCAUGUGGGCAAGCACACAUGACUUUUAGUUCUGGCAUAUAAUCCCGUAGCGUUGGCAAAGCGAGUUUCUGGGGGAAAGGACUUGUCGUUCCCUUUUAGCAUUUUACAGCGUCUAGCUCAAAAGCUCCUGAUCUAUGACCACAUGGAUUACUUAAUAUUAAUCGUUCCAUUAUUAAUAACAUUAUUAAUUGGGAAGCUACAGCUACAUUCUCUCCACCACAACCUACCGGUAGCCCUGCAAAACUUUAUGCUGGCACGGUCCUGAGGGACAGCACAGCGUGUGUGUGUGUGUGUGUGUGUGUGUGUGAAUGGAAAGCACAGGUAACAUGAGGGGACAACAGGAUACCCUAAAAAAGAGCAACAUAAGGAGGACUCACCUAUACAGGCCAAAGCUGCCUGUCGCACCUGCUUGUCCUACCAAAGCAAUAGCGGAGCGAGAACUUAAAGCACAUGGUGGGGUUGCCUGGUGUGAUGUUCAAGCUCAGCAGGGUGUUUUGCAGGGUCUUCCAAAGACAGCAGGCACAAGCCCAGCUGCACAUACAGCUAUUCCCUAGCCCCAACAGGCCAAACUGACCCCAUCUAAGUAAGAACAAGAUUAAAGCAGUUUGGGAGUGACCACACGUGCCAUUAUGCGGCCAGAGGAGUGAGCAACAGCCUCGGGCGGGCAGUGAGGAGCCUGGCCCACCAGCUCAGCCACAGCCAGAGCAGUGCAUCUGUCCGCAACCUGCGUUUCUUU